AAUCACCAUGGCAUAGUUUAUCAUAAUUAAAGAUCUGAUGCAAUUAAUUAUAAUUUUUUUUUAACAAUGAGUAAUAAAUAAUAAAAAUGAUAACAAUAGAAUUUUAAUAAUGAUUAAUAGGUGUAGGAAAAAUGACAAAUGAAUGCAUUCUUCCAUUUCUUGCAAUAUAUGUAAUGUAUAUUUCCUAACAUUACACAAUUAUAGAAAAUUCAGCUUCUGAAGAAUUAUACAAAAGUUCCUUUCCGAAAUUUCAUAGUUUAUCCAAUGCCACAUGGGUGUUUUUUUUAGGAAGAGGCGCUAGAUUUCCAUAUCAAUAUGACCUCCCCUGUUUCUUGAAAAGUAAUAUUUUUAAAUCUAAUUAUAUUUUCAUUACAUUUCGGUAGAAUGGUGAAUGAAAGCUGGAUGGUUGGAGAACGAAUGGAUUUGUUUCUGAAAACGAAUGCAGAACGCUUUACACGGGAAGAAACGCCCGACUUUGCACCAUGUUAAUCUGCACUGACCCCAUACAGGAACGGAAUGGUUUGCUGAUAACGAGAACUGAACGCUUUAGCCUAGAAACGGUGAACAGUAAAACAGUUUGGUGUGGGAACGAAACAAUUCUGGUCGAGAACGGAACAUUUAGUUUGGGGUAGUGGAACGUUUCGGGGUCUGCAACUGGUUAAAAAAAUUAAAAUGCCUUAUCUUUCUCAUUCAAACCGCACCUGUUGGAACGCUUCUUAACGACAAACCACGCAUACAUCCCAUGUAGCCGUAAACCAUAUUGUGAACAAAUGUACUGCUUUGAGGAUUCCUUCUUUGAUCUAUAUCACGUGAUCUUACCUAAUUCUCGCCAAGACAACAUUCGUAAUUCUAAUGUAGCAUAAUAGCUUGACACAUUGUUGAAGAGAACGUACAUACUUGUAUAUUCAUUAUUACAAAAAAGUGGUAGGAAUUAUGUAACAUUCUAAAUAUAACAGCAGAAAAUAUGUUAACGAUAAUUCCACAAAUCUUAACAGUAACCUGAAAUUAUCUCCUCAAUCCAGAAAUAGAUGCCACAAAAAUACAUACCACAUUACGGAUAAAUCAAAGUUGACAAGCAUCCAUUUGUGUGGGUUUACACUAAAGGUUUCUGCAUACUACAAUAAAAAAUAAACCGAAAUAAUUUUUUAAAGUACGAAUCAAAAUUCAGCACAACUUGAUACAUUUUUUUGUCAUGGAUGAUUUAAUAUAAGAUAACAAUGAUUAUUAAUUUUCAUUUAACAAGGUAUUUCAAUGACAAAGCAUAUUACAUUAAGAUUUAAACCCAUCACCGUUGCUAUCACAUGUUAGUGAUGAUAAAUGAAUUGACAUAAAUGUUGUCCUGAAUACAUUUUUCAGAAACAGAAAGCGGAUUUUCAAAACAGUGUGUUUUAGUGAUAGGUUCUUGCUUUUAUCCUACCUUUACUUACGGAGUACAUGCCUUGUGUAUUUGUAUUAUGGGGAAAUAAAUAAAUAAUUUGC